rnacentral:rRNA from 1 species
CACUGGAACUGAGACACGGUCCAGACUCCUACGGGAGGCAGCAGUAGGGAAUAUUGCGCAAUGGGGGAAACCCUGACGCAGCAACGCCGCGUGGAGGAUGACACUUUUCGGAGCGUAAACUCCUUUUCUUAGGGAAGAAUUCUGACGGUACCUAAGGAAUAAGCACCGGCUAACUCCGUGCCAGCAGCCGCGGUAAUACGGAGGGUGCAAGCGUUACUCGGAAUCACUGGGCGUAAAGGGCGCGUAGGCGGAUUAUCAAGUCUCUUGUGAAAUCUAAUGGCUUAACCAUUAAACUGCUUGGGAAACUGAUAGUCUAGAGUGAGGGAGAGGCAGAUGGAAUUGGUGGUGUAGGGGUAAAAUCCGUAGAUAUCACCAAGAAUACCCAUUGCGAAGGCGAUCUGCUGGAACUCAACUGACGCUAAGGCGCGAAAGCGUGGGGAGCUAACAGGAUUAGAUACCCUGGUAGUCCACGCCCUAAACGAUGUACACUAGUUGUUGGGGUGCUAGUCAUCUCAGUAAUGCAGCUAACGCAUUAAGUGUACCGCCUGGGGAGUACGGUCGCAAGAUUAAAACUCAAAGGAAUAGACGGGGACCCGCACAAGCGGUGGAGCAUGUGGUUUAAUUCGAAGAUACGCGAAGAACCUUACCUGGGCUUGAUAUCCUAAGAACCUUUUAGAGAUAAGAGGGUGCUAGCUUGCUAGAACUUAGAGACAGGUGCUGCACGGCUGUCGUCAGCUCGUGUCGUGAGAUGUUGGGUUAAGUCCCGCAACGAGCGCAACCCACGUAUUUAGUUGCUACCGGUUCGGCCGAGCACUCUAAAUAGACUGCCUUCGUAAGGAGGAGGAAGGUGUGGACGACGUCAAGUCAUCAUGGCCCUUAUGCCCAGGGCGACACACGUGCUACAAUGGCAUAUACAAUGAGACGCAAUACCGCGAGGUGGAGCAAAUCUAUAAAAUAUGUCCCAGUUCGGAUUGUUCUCUGCAACUCGAGAGCAUGAAGCCGGAAUCGCUAGUAAUCGUAGAUCAGCCAUGCUACGGUGAAUACGUUCCCGGGUCUUGUACUCACCGCCCGUCACACCAUGGGAGUUGAUUUCACUCGAAGCCGGAAUACUAAACUAGUACC